rfam:Triticum aestivum genome assembly, contig: Triticum_aestivum_CS42_TGACv1_scaffold_375707_5AL
UUUCUACUCCCUCCGUCCAAAAAUACUUGUCAUCAAAAUGGAUAAAAAGAGAUGUAUCUAAAACUAAAAUACGUCUAGAUACAUUUCCUUUUAUCCAUUUUGAUGACAAGUAUUUCCGGAUGGAGGGAGUAUUUG